AUCUCCAUUGUUUUUGAACAGGAAGUUGGAUCCGUACUCGUUGUCACAGAACACAUCAGAGAGGGAUUGGCUGACAAUGGGCCCAACAACAACACCUCGCCCUCCUGCACGAGAGACACAACACUGAGCGAUCCCACCGGAGCUCUGCACUCAUCCUGACCCGGAGGAGCAGACACAGCAGCUUCAGCAAGGACAUGCUCGACCAUGGGCUCACCGGAGGUAUAGACCAGCAAGAGAGUAGCUGCUACAGUCCCCAUGGUCUCUUAGCUUCUCCUCUUAACAACACAGGCAAAUGUGCAGCUGGAAGCCCAGGCACAGUUCUCAUGUAAUCACAGCUGGAGAUCCUGCAAUCAUCACACUCUCAACUUCACCAGCAGAAACCCCGGAGAGCCUUGGUCAUGACCAACCUGUAAUUACAGCAUCUUCAGAGUCUCAUCCAAGAGACACAGGCAGCCCAGAGACAUGGCACGGUCCAGGAUUUCUAAGAAUGGACUGAGGGAGUCCAGGAGGGGAGUGUCACUUGCUAAAAUUGGCCAAACCUUGCAAUCCAUCCUGACUUUUCCUGUCAGCUGUUCAAAAUGUUUAAGAUGUUACAUAAACUGAGCAUUAUAUUGUCUCAGA